CUUUGCCAUGAUCCCAAGUACUGAGUUAAUACUCCCACAGCCAUUCUUCUUUGCUCAUGUACGUACAGACAGAAAGGACGCGUGGGAUCUGGUAGACCUAGGGCUGGGGCACUAAUAAGUGCUUUCUUAACAUCCUCAAAUGCCUUCUGUUGUUUAGAGGUCCACAAAAAGGGGUCAUGUUCUGUGCCUUUCACAGCUUCAUAUAGAGGUUUUGCCAGUAUCGCAUAAUUAGGAAUCCAUAUCCUACAGAAUCCUGCUGCUC